rnacentral:rRNA from 1 species
GGGGUGACUGCGUACCUUUUGUAUAAUGGGUCAGCGACUUAUAUUCUGUAGCAAGGUUAACCGCAUAGGGGAGCCGAAGGGAAACCGAGUCUUAAUUGGGCGUUAAGUUGCAGGGUAUAGACCCGAAACCCGGUGAUCUAGCCAUGGGCAGGUUGAAGGUUGGGUAACACUAACUGGAGGACCGAACCGACUAAUGUUGAAAAAUUAGCGGAUGACCUGUGGCUGGGGGUGAAAGGCCAAUCAAACCGGGAGAUAGCUGGUUCUCCCCGAAAGCUAUUUAGGUAGCGCCUCGUGAACUCAUCUCCGGGGGUAGAGCACUGUUUCGGCUAGGGGGCCAUCCCGGCUUACCAACCCGAUGCAAACUGCGAAUACCGGAGAAUGUUAUCACGGGAGACACACGGCGGGUGCUAACGUCCGUCGUGAAGAGGGAAACAACCCAGACCGCCAGCUAAGGUCCCAAAGUCAUGGUUAAGUGGGAAACGAUGUGGGAAGGCCCAGACAGCCAGGAUGUUGGCUUAGAAGCAGCCAUCAUUUAAAGAAAGCGUAAUAGCUCACUGGUCGAGUCGGCCUGCGCGGAAGAUGUAACGGGGCUAAACCAUGCACCGAAGCUGCGGCAGCGACACUUUAGUGUUGUUGGGUAGGGGAGCGUUCUGUAAGCCGUUGAAGGUGUCCUGUGAGGGGUGCUGGAGGUAUCAGAAGUGCGAAUGCUGACAUAAGUAACGAUAAAGCGGGUGAAAAGCCCGCUCGCCGGAAGACCAAGGGUUCCUGUCCAACGUUAAUCGGGGCAGGGUGAGUCGACCCCUAAGGCGAGGCCGAAAGGCGUAGUCGAUGGGAAACGGGUUAAUAUUCCCGUACUUGGUGUUACUGCGAAGGGGGGACGGAGAAGG